rnacentral:rRNA from 1 species
ANUACGUGCCAGCAGCCGCGGUAAUACGUAGGGUGCGAGCGUUAAUNGGAAUUACUGGGCGUAAAGCGAGCGCAGACGGUUACUUAAGCAGGAUGUGAAAUCCCCGGGCUCAACCUGGGAACUGCGUUCUGAACUGGGUAGCUAGAGUAUGUCAGAGGGGGGUAGAAUUCCACGUGUAGCAGUGAAAUGCGUAGAGAUGUGGAGGAAUACCGAUGGUGAAGGCAGCCCCCUGGGAUAAUACUGACGUUCAUGCUCGAAAGCGUGGGUAGCAAACAGGAUUAGAUACCCUGGUAGUCCACGCCCUAAACGAUGUCGAUUAGCUGUUGGGCAACUUGAUUGCUUAGUAGCGUAGCUAACGCGUGAAAUCGACCGCCUGGGGAGUACGGUCGCAAGAUUAAAACUCAAAGGAAUUGACGGGGACCCGCACAAGCGGUGGAUGAUGUGGAUUAAUUCGAUGCAACGCGAAGAACCUUACCUGGUCUUGACAUGUACGGAAGAACUCAGAGACGAGUUUGUGCCUUCGGGAGCCGUAACACAGGUGCUGCAUGGCUGUCGUCAGCUCGUGUCGUGAGAUGUUGGGUUAAGUCCCGCAACGAGCGCAACCCUUGUCAUUAGUUGCCAUCAUUUAGUUGGGCACUCUAAUGAGACUGCCGGUGACAAACCGGAGGAAGGUGGGGAUGACGUCAAGUCCUCAUGGCCCUUAUGACCAGGGCUUCACACGUCAUACAAUGGUCGGUACAGAGGGUAGCCAAGCCGCGAGGUGGAGCCAAUCCCAGAAAACCGAUCGUAGUCCGGAUUGCACUCUGCAACUCGAGUGCAUGAAGUCGGAAUCGCUAGUAAUCGCAGGUCAGCAUACUGCGGUGAAUACGUUCCCGGGUCUUGUACACACCGCCCGUCACACCAUGGGAGUGGGGGAUACCAGAANU